ensembl:rRNA 5S_rRNA 5S ribosomal RNA
GUCUUUGGCCAUACCAGCCUGAACGCGCCCGACCCCGUCUCCUCUCGGAAGCUAAGCAGGGUCGGGCCUGCGUAGUACUUGGAUGGGAGACCGCCUGGGAACACCGGGUGCUGUAGGCU